UACAAACCCAAACCCGACCAGAACCUCAAUCAAAACGAACGCUCCGCAACCCUAAUCUUAAAAACUCAGUCCCUCAAAAAAGCCCCAAUCUUUCACCGCAGAGAACAGGUGUUCAAGGUCCUGAAUUUCAUCCAUCCAAGCAAUGGCUUCUUCUUCUCUGAAGCAAACAAGGGUACUUCUCCAUUCUCAUCUCAGAGAAUUGGUAUUCAACAUCACUGAAACAAAGGUGCUACACAAAUCUGGGGUCAGGCAUCAUCUAUUGUAAAACACCUUGAAUGUCUCGAUUGCUGCAUCUAAAGGUGGUAGAUAACUAUAGGGUUUACGCUUCAUUGAUUGGGACUCAGUUUCAAGAUCAUAGUUCCUUCAUUUGAAAGGGCUCCAUUUGAUUGACACCAGAGUCGAUGGCAAUUAGUCAAUUAGUUUCGCUGCAUUAGUUCCAGGUUUAUUUGGUGGAGACCUCUGAACUGGCAGUUGUGAAAUUCAGAGGAGGUGGCACUGGCGAGUUUAUCACCACCCAGAAGAUUCAAAGGGUUCCUGCUAGCAAAAGAUCCCUUUUGGUCCUCUGUGCUUUUAGAUUACUAAAAAUUGGCUACGGAGGACCAUGCUGCAACCUUUGUCGACAGAUUGCCUUUACUGUUCUGGGUUUUUGGGCAGAGAAGGGAGAUUUGAAGUUCACACAAGAUAUUACCACAUAGAUGUUAAUCUGAAGAAAAUUUAGAGCUGAAAACUCUUACUGAUCAUCGCCACCUAGCAUGUUUAGUGACAAAGAUGGAUGAAAGAAACUAGAAACAGAGGUUUUUGAGCAUUUACAUUUAGUUGGCAAUAGUGGUUCCUACUCAAGCAGCGGCUUCCUGCAACAGCAACGAAUUCCUACCACAGCAACGCUUCCUACAAUAGCACCGACUCCAUGCAACAGCAACAGCUUCCUGAAACAAUAGUGGCUUCCUCUCAAGAAAGGAUGAAGAAAUCCCAGUGAAAAAGAAAUGCAUCAAGAAUUAAGAUGUCCUUUUGAGAACCCAGUUCAAGAGUAGCCAAUUAUGUUGGAAGAAUUACCAGCCAACAGAGGGGUUUGUAUUCUAUCACUGUAAAAUUAUCAAUUUCAAAGUCAAUAUAAUUAGGCAUUUUAAAGAAAUUACCAAGGCAUAUAUGACACAUUUAUUAUGCUUUUCAAAAUUGAGGGAUAUAAAUUAUUGUUCAUUUAUGGUCCUCAAUAGCUUAUGGUAAUAACAGGUGACUCAUAGCAACAGCUGGAUUUUCCAAUUAUUA